rnacentral:rRNA from 1 species
CAGUCGCCGCGGGAAUACGAAGGGGGCUAGCGUUGCUCGGAAUCACUGGGUGUAAAGGGUGCGUAGGCGGGUCCUUAAGUCAGGGGUGAAAUCCUGGAGCUCAACUCCAGAACUGCCUUUGAUACUGAAGAUCUUGAGUUCGGGAGAGGUGAGUGGAACUGCGAGUGUAGAGGUGAAAUUCGUAGAUAUUCGCAAGGACACCAGUGGCGAAGGCGGCUCACCGGCCCGAUACUGACGCUGAGGCACGAAAGCGUGGGGAGCAAACAGGAUUAGAUACCCCCGUAGUCCCUGUCUCUUAUAC